rnacentral:rRNA from 1 species
AUACGGAGGAUGCGAGCGUUAUCCGGAUUUAUUGGGUUUAAAGGGAGCGUAGGUGGGAUAUUAAGUCAGCUGUGAAAGUUUGGGGCUCAACCUUAAAAUUGCAGUUGAUACUGGUUUCCUUGAGUACGGUAUAGGUGGGCGGAAUUCGUGGUGUAGCGGUGAAAUGCUUAGAUAUCACGAAGAACUCCGAUCGCGAAGGCAGCUCACCGGGCCGGAACUGACACUGAUGCUCGAAAGUGCGGGUAUCAAACAGGAUUAGAUACCCUGGUAGUCCGCACAGUAAACGAUGAAUACUCGCUGUUCGCGAUACACUGUAAGCGGCCAAGCGAAAGCGUUAAGUAUUCCACCUGGGGAGUACGCCGGCAACGGUGAAACUCAAAGGAAUUGACGGGG